UGGGGGAUAUUGCACAAUGGGCGAAAGCCUGAUGCAGCGACGCCGCGUGGGGGAUGAAGGCUUUCGGGUUGUAAACCUCUUUCGCUAUCGAACAAGGCCCGCUUAGGGUGGGUUGAGGGUAGGUGGAGAAGAAGCGCCGGCUAACUACGUGCCAGCAGCCGCGGUAAUACGUAGGGCGCGAGCGUUGUCCGGAAUUAUUGGGCGUAAAGGGCUUGUAGGCGGCUUGUUGCGUCUGCUGUGAAAACGCGGGGCUUAACUUCGCGCGUGCAGUGGGUACGGGCAGGCUUGAGUGUGGUAGGGGUGACUGGAAUUCCAGGUGUAGCGGUGGAAUGCGCAGAUAUCUGGGGGAACACCGAUGGCGAAGGCAGGUCACUGGGCCAUUACUGACGCUGAGGGGCGAAAGCAUGGGUAGCGAACAGG
rnacentral:rRNA from 1 species